GACGAACGCUGGCGGCGUGCUUAACACAUGCAAGUCGAACGGAAAGGCCCUGCUUUUGUGGGGUGCUCGAGUGGCGAACGGGUGAGUAACACGUGAGUAACCUGCCCUUGACUUUGGGAUAACUUCAGGAAACUGGGGCUAAUACCGGAUAGGAGCUCCUGCUGCAUGGUGGGGGUUGGAAAGUUUCGGCGGUUGGGGGUGGACUCGCGGCUUAUCAGCUUGUUGGUGGGGUAGUGGCUUACCAAGGCUUUGACGGGUAGCCGGCCUGAGAGGGUGACCGGCCACAUUGGGACUGAGAGACGGCCCAGACUCCUACGGGAGGCAGCAGUGGGGAAUAUUGCACAAUGGGCGGAAGCCUGAUGCGGCAACGCCGCGUGCGGGAUGACGGCCUUCGGGUUGUAAACCGCUUUCGCCUGUGACGAAGCGGGAGUGACGGUAAUGGGUAAAGAAGCACCGGCUAACUACGUG
rnacentral:rRNA from 1 species